rnacentral:rRNA from 1 species
UACGUAGGUGGCAAGCGUUGUCCGGAAUUAUUGGGCGUAAAGAGCUCGUAGGCGGUUUGUCGCGUCUGCCGUGAAAGUCCGGGGCUCAACUCCGGAUCUGCGGUGGGUACGGGCAGACUAGAGUGAUGUAGGGGAGACUGGAAUUCCUGGUGUAGCGGUGAAAUGCGCAGAUAUCAGGAGGAACACCGGUGGCGAAGGCGGGUCUCUGGGCCGAUAUUGACGCUGAGGAGCGAAAGCGUGGGGAGCGAACAGG